rnacentral:lncRNA from 1 species
CCUUCUCACCCCCACGACCCAUUUACAGUUUUCAUAAAUCUUCUCCCCGUCGUCCCCGACCAUCCUUAAUCUUCUCCGGGAAUCUCUUCUUCACGGUUGUUGCUUCCUUGCUGGAAAUCUUUUCUCCGGGAACCCUAUCUGGAAAUCUCUUCAGACUUCUCUGGUAUUUAUUUGUUCAGCUUAUUUCUACAUAUUAUUUGGGUGAAAAGAAAAUCAUAAGAAAUGUUUAAUCAUGUUUAAUGUUUAUACAAAAAUCAAAUGAUCUCUCUCUUGCUAUCUUUCACAUGAUCGCUCUCUUUUAUAUACGUAGUUGAAGCAUGGUUUUCCAUCACGUAGUUGUCCAGGUGUGCCUUCUUUGAGAGAAGAAAAUGGGCACGCACCCAUGGUCAAGCCAUUUAUACCUGUUGAGAUGUAAUUAGGUAUUUGGGUUGCUUGACUAUAUAGUGCAAUUCAAUUAUGUACCAACAAUAAUAAUGUUCAUGAACAUAUUAUAUUAAUAACCUUAUUCCAUGUGCAAUACUAUUCCACCC